rnacentral:tRNA from 1 species
GCCGGAGUGGUGAAACUGGUAGACGCACGGGACUCAAAAUCCCGCGGGUGCAAGCCCGUGUCAGUUCGAUUCUGACCUCCGGCACCA